rnacentral:ribozyme from 1 species
AUUUUCAGAACUCCGACCCCAACCUCCACGUGGUGCUGGCUGGACUACAACUGUUGCACAAAAUGUAUGCAAAAUGUAACAAUUGUAUACCAACUGGGGCGG